AAAAAAGAACACAUGUCUUCAUUGCACUGGGAAGCACGGCGCAAGCAAAGGCUGAUGGACAAGCGAGCAAAGGAGGAGGGCGAAUACAAACUCUUGACAAUACCUAAAGCAGCUGUGGAGCCUCCGCCAAGUCAGGAGGAGAAAAAAGUUGUCCCAGAAACUUCAACCGCAAGUGAACUUGGAGGACCGAGAUCCAAGAAAUACACAUCCACAGACUACGUUCAGCAGUGGUGAGAGAUGGAGCGAGGAGUCAGCCUGACGGCACAGCACGGCACGGCACGGCACCACGCGGCACUCACCAGGACAAUAACUUCCUCACAGCCGAGAACCUCCCGGCAAUUUAGUUCGACCACUGCCCCCAGUGUUCAACUGCAGCAACGAUGUGAUGUGGAGUGAAGUGACCGACAGCUGUAGGAGAAGCCAAGCGACCCCACCGAGGGCCGGUUGACACGAACCCAUCGCAGUCAAUAAAACCCUUUGGGCUCAGCCGCGCUCUCCGACUCCCGUUCUCGCCGCACAACCCGACCUCCCUCUCCAAUCGGCAGCUUAGCCGCUGAGGAAACGGGGACGUGUU